UUCGAUCGCCUGUCAGGCGUUUCCUCCCUAAACUCGGGCCGCGGCACAAUAGCUAGCGGCCUUUUCCUUUUUCUGCA
rnacentral:sRNA from 1 species